rnacentral:rRNA from 1 species
UACGAAGGGAGCUAGCGUUGUUCGGAAUCACUGGGCGUAAAGCGCACGUAGGCGGAUGUGUCAGUCAGGGGUGAAAUCCCGGAGCUCAACUUCGGAACUGCCUUUGAUACAGCACGUCUUGAGUCCGAUAGAGGUGGGUGGAAUUCCUAGUGUAGAGGUGAAAUUCGUAGAUAUUAGGAAGAACACCGGUGGCGAAGGCGGCUCUCUGGGGACGGUACUGACGCUGAGACGCGAAAGCGUGGGGAGCGAACAGG